GAACAUACCACUUGUUGCCUCGGCGGAUCAGCCCGCUCCCGGUAAAACGGGACGGCCCGCCAGAGGACCCCUAAACUCUGUUUCUAUAUGUAACUUCUGAGUAAAACCAUAAAUAAAUCAAAACUUUCAACAACGGAUCUCUUGGUUCUGGCAUCGAUGAAGAACGCAGCAAAAUGCGAUAAGUAAUGUGAAUUGCAGAAUUCAGUGAAUCAUCGAAUCUUUGAACGCACAUUGCGCCCGCCAGUAUUCUGGCGGGCAUGCCUGUUCGAGCGUCAUUUCAACCCUCAAGCACAGCUUGGUGUUGGGACUCGCGUUAAUUCGCGUUCCUCAAAUUGAUUGGCGGUCACGUCGAGCUUCCAUAGCGUAGUAGUAAAACCCUCGUUACUGGUAAUCGUCGCGGCCACGCCGUUAAACCCCAACUUCUGAAUGUUGACCUCGGAUCAGGUAGGAAUACCCGCUGAACUUAAGCAUAUCAAUAAGCGGAGGA
rnacentral:rRNA from 1 species